rnacentral:misc_RNA from 1 species
GAAAUGAGAAUCCAUUGAAAAAAAUUAGAGUAUAAUUUCUGUAUUCAGAACUGGUAGGCUAACAAAAAAUCAUGGAGAAAGAAAACCAAUGUCCAUAAUUCUUGAAAGAAGUCAUUUUGCUUAGUGAAAAAAUGAGUAAAAUAGCACAGGUAAAUGCACUUCACAGAGAAAUCAGAGUUCAGUCUUUGGACUACCUAACUGGCUCAGCAAAAUUGCCAUAUCCAUACCCUGUACCAUAGUAGGUACAGCUGUCUCAUAAGGGCAAUCCCGAGAAAAACCAACCUUUCCAGAUUUCUUCACUUUCUUUAUGCAGCUCUUGAACUUUUCAUGGCACUUAAUACUCAUUAAACCUUUCUUUUCAACGCACUCGUCAUGAAUCUUGCAACAGGCGUCCAGGUCGUCGCAUGGUUUCUCCCCAGGACAGCCAGUCCACCCUACUCCACAGUACUUUCCGUAUCUAAUCCCGACCGAAUUACAGUUCUCUGCAACGCAAGUUCUACUGCAUUUCACCUGAGAAUCGUUUUUAGCGGAGUCGGCGAAGACGGAGAGAAAGAUGAAAACGAUGGCGAAUGUUACUACUGCCGCGGCGCGAGUUCUAACAGGAACAAACGAAUCGAGCAGCAUUCUUUUCCUCUGCUGUAUCGAUUUUGGCUCCUGAAAGUUGCUUCUUCUUGUCCGCUUGUAGGUUUCUUACUCGAACGAAAUUCGUUGAU